rnacentral:rRNA from 1 species
AGAAUCAACGCUGGCGGCGUGCCUAGCACAUGCAAGUCGAACGAGAAAGUGGAGCAAUCCAUGAGUAAAGUGGCGCACGGGUGAGUAACACGUGACUAACCUACCCUUGAGUGGGGGAUAACCUAGAGAAAUCUGGGCUAAUACCGCAUAAUACCUUCGGGUCAAAGGAGCAAUUCGCUUUAGGAGGGGGUCGCGGCCGAUUAGUUAGUUGGCGGGGUAAUGGCCCACCAAGACUGUGAUCGGUA